GCUGAAUUUUCUCACCAAAUAUCAUUCAUUGAAUAUUUAAAAUUGUUGAAGAAUAAGAAUGUUCCCAAACGUUUGAUCACAAGUCAUACGAAGUAUCGCGUACAUGCUGUUACUUUGUUGUCCCAGACAUACACGUACCUCUUGUCUUUGGCUCAAGUUUGUACAUUUGAUACAACACGGCCGCUCAUACUUUAUCUAGAUUGUAGACAUAAAAUUUACAUCCGCAGUGCGUGUUUUAUCAGACUUAUAAAAGAUACUCGGCUUCGCCUAUAGUACUUCAAACUUUUGAAGACCAUGCAUGUCAAGUCCGCGUAAAUUCGUAAUGUAAAUAAAUCCUUCGACGCUUUGUUUAUAUUUCGGACUGCUAUAUAUUUGUAAAAUAAGACAUACUAUUAACUAAAUAUCUAACAGUUUUCUGGUUCGCUAUUGUAAAUGAAUAUAAAUUAGAGUACGUUUCAAUUCAAAACAGUUCGAAAAAUGCAAAAUUUGGGCAAUAUUUAUUUCUGUGGGUCGCCCUUUGUUAUGAACAGAACUGAUGUGCAGAACGAACUUGACAAGGUCUUUAAACAUUAAAAAAAUCCAAAUAUAUAUCAAAAAAUCGAAAAAUCAAAAAAUCAAAAAAUACAAAAAUCAAAAAAUCAAAAAAUCAAAAAAUCAAAAAAUCAAAGAAUCAAAAAAUCAAAAAAUACAAAAAUCAAAAAAUCAAAAAAUACAAAAAUCAAAAAAUAAAAAAAUACAAAAACUGUUUUUGUGCUGUCGCGUCUGGGCCACCGUACAAAAGCUGAAAAAAUAGGAAUUGAUAAAAUCAGAUUUAUUUAAUAUGUUUUAGAUUUAAUUGGCAUUCAGAC